rnacentral:rRNA from 1 species
UACAGAGGGGGCAAGCGUUAUUCGGAAUUAUUGGGCGUAAAGGGCGCGUAGGCGGCUUCGCAAGUGACGGGUGAAAUCCCUCGGCUUAACCGAGGAACUGCCUGUGAAACUGCGUGGCUUGAGACCAGGAGAGGUGAGUGGAAUUCCCAGUGUAGCGGUGAAAUGCGUAGAUAUUGGGAGGAACACCAGUGGCGAAGGCGGCUCACUGGACUGGUACUGACGCUGAGGCGCGAAAGCGUGGGGAGCAAACAGG